AUACGUAGGGGGCGAGCGUUGUCCGGAAUGAUUGGGCGUAAAGGGCGCGUAGGCGGCCUGUUAAGUCUGGAGUGAAAGUCCUGUUUUCAAGAUGGGAAUUGCUUUGGAUACUGUCGGGCUUGAGUGCAGGAGAGGUAAGUGGAAUUCCCAGUGUAGCGGUGAAAUGCGUAGAGAUUGGGAGGAACACCAGUGGCGAAGGCGACUUACUGGACUGUAACUGACGCUGAGGCGCGAAAGCGUGGGGAGCGAACAGGAUUAGAUACCCUGGUAGUCCACGCGGUAAACGAUGAAUGCUAGGUGUAGGGGGUAUCGACCCCUCCUGUGCCGGAGUGAACACAAUAAGCAUUCCGCCUGGGGAGUACGGCCGCAAGGUUGAAACUUAAAGGAAUUGACGGGG
rnacentral:rRNA from 1 species